rnacentral:rRNA from 2 species
UGGGGAAUAUUGCACAAUGGGGGAAACCCUGAUGCAGCAACGCCGCGUGAGUGAUGAAGGUCUUCGGAUCGUAAAGCUCUGUCUUCAGGGACGAUAAUGACGGUACCUGAGGAGGAAGCCACGGCUAACUACGUGCCAGCAGCCGCGGUAAUACGGAGGUGGCGAGCGUUGUCCGGAUUUACUGGGCGUAAAGGGAGCGUAGGCGGACUUUUAAGUGAGAUGUGAAAUACCCAGGCUCAACCUGGGGGCUGCAGUUCAAACUGGAAGUCUAGAGUGCAGGAGGGGAGAGUGGAAUUCCUAGUGUAGCGGUGAAAUGCGUAGAUAUUAGGAGGAACACCAGUAGCGAAGGCGGCUCUCUGGACUGUAACUGACGCUGAGGCACGAAAGCGUGGGGAGCAAACAGG